rnacentral:rRNA from 1 species
UACGUAGGGUGCGAGCGUUGUCCGGAAUUACUGGGCGUAAAGAGCUCGUAGGUGGUUUGUCGCGUUGUCCGUGAAAACUCACAACUCAAUUGUGGGCGUGCGGGCGAUACGGGCAGACUGGAGUACUGCAGGGGAGACUGGAAUUCCUGGUGUAGCGGUGAAAUGCGCAGAUAUCAGGAGGAACACCGAGUGGCGAAGGCAGGUCUCUGGGCAUUAACUGACGCUGAGGAGCGAAAGCAUGGGGAGCGAACAGG